rnacentral:rRNA from 1 species
AAAACGACUCUCGGCAACGGAUAUCUCGGCUCUUGCAUCGAUGAAGAACGCAGCGAAAUGCGAUACUUGGUGUGAAUUGCAGAAUCCCGUGAACCAUCGAGUCUUUGAACGCAAGUUGCGCCCGAAGCCGUCAGGCCGAGGGCACGCCUGCCUGGGCGUCGCA